rnacentral:rRNA from 1 species
AGAGUUUGAUCCUGGCUCAGGAUGAACGCUGGCGGCGUGCUUAACACAUGCAAGUCGAACGGGAAUGUCGCGCUGACGAGACUUCGGUCAAAUCUUGUGGCAUUCUAGUGGCGGACGGGUGAGUAACGCGUGGGUAACCUGCCAUAUACAGGGGGAUAACACUUAGAAAUAGGUGCUAAUACCGCAUAAGCGCACGGAGUCGCAUGACUUUGUGUGAAAAACUGAGGUGGUAUAUGAUGGACCCGCGUCUGAUUAGCUUGUUGGUGAGGUAACGGCCCACCAAGGCGACGAUCAGUAGCCGGCCUGAGAGGGUGGACGGCCACAUUGGGACUGAGACACGGCCCAAACUCCUACGGGAGGCAGCAGUGGGGGAUAUUGGACAAUGGGGGGAACCCUGAUCCAGCGACGCCGCGUGAGUGAAGAAGUAUUUCGGUAUGUAAAGCUCUGUCAGCAGGGAAGAAAGAAAUGACGGUACCUGACCAAGAAGCCCCGGCUAACUACGUGCCAGCAGCCGCGGU